GAUGAACGCUGGCGGCGUGCCUAAUACAUGCAAGUCGAACGAAGAUCUAGCUUGCUAGAUCUUAGUGGCGAACGGGUGAGUAAUACAUAAAUAAUCUGCCCAUAUGACUGGGAUAACUAUUGGAAACGAUAGCUAAUACCGGAUAGGUUGAUCGGAGGCAUCUCUGAUGAAUUAAAGUAGGAUUUCUACACAAAUGGUUGAGUUUAUGGCGCAUUAGUUAGUUGGUGGGGUAACGGCCUACCAAGACGAUGAUGCCUAUCCGACCUGAACGGGUGACCGGCCGCACUGGGACUCAGACACCGCACGGACUCCUACGGGAGGCAGCAGUCGGGAAUGUUAGGCAAUGGGCGCAAGCCUGACCGUGCCACGCCGCGUGGGUGAUUAAGGCCUUCGGGUUGUACAGCUCUGUUGUAAGGGAAGAACAUUCAGGAUAGGACAGGAUCUUUAACUGACGGUACCUUACCAGAAAGCCACGGCUAGCUACGUGCCAGCAGCCGCUGUAAAAC
rnacentral:rRNA from 1 species